CCUGCUCACUGAGAUUUAAAGAGCUGCAGUAUUUUAACUGUACAAAGGUAGCAUAAUCAUUAGUUCUUUAAUUGAGAACUGGUAUGAAGGGUUAGACGUAAGAUUAGCUGUCUUUGUUAUAUUGAAGUGAAAUUAAUUUUUUUGUGAAAAAGCAAAAAUGAUAUAAAGGGACAAGAAGACCCUAUUAAAUUUUAAUAUUUAAUUUACAGUGUGGAUAAAAUUUUCGUGAUGGAAGAUAUUUUGUUUGGGGCGAACAGUAUUAAUAACAAUAUUUAAUAGUAAUAAAUUUAAUUAACAUUUAAUUGAUCUAAAUUGGUUAAGAGUAAGAAAAAAUUACUGUAGGGAUAACAGCGUAAUAUUUUUUAAGAGUUCAUAUUGACGAAAAUGUUUGCGACCUCGAUGUUGGAUUAAGGAUUCUAUUUGGCGGAAAGGUUUUAUUAGAUGGUCUGUUCGACCAUUAAAUUCUUACAUGAUCUGAGUUCAGACCGGCG
rnacentral:rRNA from 1 species